rnacentral:piRNA from 1 species
UUCAACACUACAUUAUCCACACUGGGG